AACGUAGGACACAAGCGUUAUCCGGAGUUACUGGGCGUAAAGGGCGUGUAGGCGGACCUAUAAGUCUAUUCUGAAAGCUCCUGGCUAAACUGGGAGAGGCGAAUGGAGACUGUAGAUCUAGAGUGAGGAAGAGGAAAGUGGAAUUCCGCGUGUAGUGGUGAGAUGCGUAGAGAUGCGGAGGAACACCAGUGGCGAAAGCGACUUUCUGGUCCUUAACUGACGCUGAGGCGCGAAAGCAUGGGGAGCGAACGGG
rnacentral:rRNA from 1 species